rnacentral:rRNA from 1 species
UUAACCAUUAGUUUACUAUUGGAGCGGUUAGUGGCGGACUGGUGAGUAACACGUAAGCAACCUGCCUAUCAGAGGGGAACAACAGUUAGAAAUGACUGCUAAUACCGCAUAUACCUUAGAAUCACAUGGUUCAAAAGGGAAAGGAGCAAUCCGCUGAUAGAUGGGCUUGCGUCUGAUUAGCUAGUUGGUGGGGUAACGGCCUACCAAGUCGACGAUCAGUAGCCGGACUGAGAGGUUGAACGGCCACAUUGGGACUGAGAUACGGCCCAGACUCC